CGCGUAGGCGGCUUGGCAAGUCAAAGGUGAAAUCCCUCGGCUCAACCGAGGAACUGCCUUUGAAACUGCCUCGCUAGAGGCCGGGAGGGGGUGGCGGAAUUCCCAGUGUAGCGGUGAAAUGCGUAGAUAUUGGGAGGAACACCAGUGGCGAAGGCGGCCACCUGGACCGGUUCUGACGCUGAGGUGCGAAAGCGUGGGGAGCAAACA
rnacentral:rRNA from 1 species